CUUUAUGACAUAUCUGUCCUGGGUCUGGAGCACCAUGCUUUGUGAGAUCAUAAUAGAGAGGCAUGUCGAUGAAUAAUAGGCGUGUGACAGACAGAUGCUACGUCCAUCCUAAGAGUCAUAUGUGUUCUUUGGUUAUCCUAGAAGCCACUGUGGUAUCCCAGGGCCUUGCCACAGCCACUGACAGAAAAAUGAUGAAUAAAAAUAAUACGCGUGAA